UUUGACUUUUGAUUUGUUAAUCUCUCUCCGUAGUUCCGAAGAAGAAGCUCAUUUCAAGAAACUCAAGCAAUACUGCUCGUGCUUCAUGGUCUCUCCUCUUCCAAAUCCAAACAAAAGUGACCCACGCCUCUCAGCCUCCCAAAAAGACCGCUUCUAAGUGGGUCAAGGGGAAGCAAUUGGAAGAAGUUGUGGCCGUUAAAAACACGUGAGAUAUGGGAUUGGUGGCAAAAAUAUAGCUUUUGUGGGACUACUUGGACUCAAAUAAUUUUCUGUAAAGUUUGGAAGCUAAGACAUCAUUUGUAUAUAAAUGGUUGUAAUUACUUUGUGAACAUCUUUAUUGCAUUUUUAGAUUGUAUGGAUGUUUUUUAUGAAUUUGGAUAGAAAUGAAUGGAAUUUAUUUUUAA